rnacentral:rRNA from 1 species
UUGAUCCUGGCUCAGAACGAACGCUGGCGGCAGGCCUAACACAUGCAAGCCGAACGCACUCUUCGGAGUGAGUGGCAGACGGGUGAGUAACGCGUGGGAACCUACCCAGUGGUACGGAAUAACCCCGGGAAACCGGGGCUAAUACCGUAUACGCCCUCCGGGGGAAAGAUUUAUCGCCAUUGGAUGGGCCCGCGUCGGAUUAGCUAGUUGGUGGGGUAAUGGCCCACCAAGGCGACGAUCCGUAGCUGGUUUGAGAGAAUGAUCAGCCACACUGGGACUGAGACACGGCCCAGACUCCUACGGGAGGCAGCAGUGGGGAAUCUUGGACAAUGGGCGAAAGCCUGAUCCAGCCAUGCCGCGUGAGUGAAGAAGGCCCUAGGGUUGUAAAGCUCUUUCAGCGGGGAAGAUAACGACGGUACCCGCAGAAGAAGCCCCGGCUAACUUCGUGCCAGCAGCCGCGGUAAUACGAAGGGGGCUAGCGUUGUUCGGAAUUACUGGGCGUAAAGCGCGCGUAGGCGGACUGGUCAGUCAGGGGUGAAAUCCCGGGGCUUAACCUCGGAACUGCCUUUGAUACUGCCAGUCUUGAGUCCGAGAGAGGUGAGUGGAAUUCCUAGUGUAGAGGUGAAAUUCGUAGAUAUUAGGAAGAACACCGGUGGCGAAGGCGACUCACUGGCUCGGUACUGACG